CCAUCCCCAUCCCGCUUUGCCUUCCCCCACCACCCCGACCUCCUCGACCUCUACCUCCCCGCCGACCCCUUCUUCGCCCCGCCCCCCAUCCCCUCCCCACACGCCUUCCUCCUGCACGACCUCACCGACCGUGUCGCCGCGCUCGAGCUCGCGGCCCGCGCGGCCGCCCCGCAACCGGCGCGCCGCAAGUACACCUACGCGGCCACGGAGCCCGGCGGCCGGAAGGUCAAGUGGACGGCGGAGGAGAAGCCGCGCGGCGGGGGCCGGGCGCUCAAGUGGGAGGCUGAGCUCGCCUCCCCCAACAACGACGGAUUCGACCGCAAGUGGAGGUGGGAGGCCAAGUCCAGGGGCGGCGCCGGAGGCAAGACCAAGACCAAGUGGGGAACCGAGAUCAAGGGCAAAGGCUCGCUCGAGCCAUGGUCGCAUGCCUACACCUGGGAGGAGGACUUCACCGCCUCCGACGACGACGAGGAUGAGCUGGAGGUCGAGGAGCGCAGGCCGGAGAAGCCCAAGAAGAUCAAGGCCGCCGCCAAGGACAAGGAGGUUGACAAGAAGAAGAAGAAGCCGGCGAGGACGUGCGUCCAGAUCGAGGAGAUCCCCGAGGACAACACCGCCGGCUGCGACGCCAUCCGCAAGGCCUUUGCCAUGGGGAACGGCAAGGGGAAGGCCAAGGAGCUGUCGCCGCAGGAUGCCGCGCUGCUCAUCCAGAUGAACUACAGGGCGCACCUCGCCCACCGCUCCCAGGUGCUCAGCUGCCUGCGCGAUCUCGCCGUCGCCAAGGCCAAGCUCAAGGAGCUCCGGUCCCUCUUCUACAACCUCUCCUAUAGGCGCCGCCUCUGGCACGACCACGAGGAGCACCAGAGGUUCUCCGAGAAGAUCAUUGUCCUGCUCCUCACUGUCGAAGCGCUCGAGGUGAGCUCCGUCACGGCCUGUUUACGAUUGCCGAUUGCUGAUUGCUGA
rnacentral:rRNA from 1 species